rnacentral:rRNA from 1 species
UACGUAGGGUGCGAGCGUUGUCCGGAAUUAUUGGGCGUAAAGGGCUCGUAGGCGGUUUGUCACGUCGGGAGUGAAAACUCAGGGCUUAACCCUGAGCCUGCUUCCGAUACGGGCAGACUAGAGGUAUGCAGGGGAGAACGGAAUUCCUGGUGUAGCGGUGAAAUGCGCAGAUAUCAGGAGGAACACCGGUGGCGAAGGCGGUUCUCUGGGCAUUACCUGACGCUGAGGAGCGAAAGUGUGGGGAGCGAAC